rnacentral:rRNA from 1 species
AUUGAACGCUGGCGGCAGGCCUAACACAUGCAAGUCGAACGGUAACAGGAAGCAGCUUGCUGCUUUGCUGACGAGUGGCGGACGGGUGAGUAAUGUCUGGGAAACUGCCCGAUGGAGGGGGAUAACUACUGGAAACGGUAGCUAAUACCGCAUAACGUCGCAAGACCAAAGAGGGGGACCUUAGGGCCUCUUGCCAUCGGAUGUGCCCAGAUGGGAUUAGCUAGUAGGUGGGGUAACGGCUCACCUAGGCGACGAUCCCUAGCUGGUCUGAGAGGAUGACCAGCCACACUGGAACUGAGACACGGUCCAGACUCCUACGGGAGGCAGCAGUGGGGAAUAUUGCACAAUGGGCGCAAGCCUGAUGCAGCCAUGCCGCGUGUAUGAAGAAGGCCUUCGAGUUGUAAAGUACUUUCAGCGGGGAGGAAGGGAGUAAAGUUAAUACCUUUGCUCAUUGACGUUACCCGCAGAAGAAGCACCGGCUAACUCCGU